rnacentral:lncRNA from 1 species
CGCAUGGAAAAUUACAAUAUCAUGGAUGCAACUCAGAUAUGAGAAGAUUUUUGUUUCCUUCAAUGGCUAUAUAUGCAUUCAGUCACGUCUCUGCAAACAAGGAAGGAAAUUCCUUUACAGGUUUCAAAAUUUCCAGAUGAUUUAUUUUAUUUCCUUUUUUGUAACGAUUCCUUGCUUAAUUUUCCUCAAUUUAUCUUCCAAUUAUAUAAGCCCUGAUUGCGAUUUAUGUUUUAACAGCAGUUAAUACUUGGUCCUGGGGACAAUAUACAGAAACUCAAUCACUCGGGUACUUUUUCUAUAUGGUUUGGUUUCAUGCUAUCAUAAUUUUAUAUUUGUGUUAAUUUUCGGAUUUUCAUGUUUAUAUCCUAUUUUGGAGGCAAAAUAAUAUAGUUCUAACUAUAUUAACACCUUGAAAAGUUUGAAUAAUUGUUUGCCUUAUUGCUGGAAGCAUGCUGCUCUUGUAGACACUAAAUCCAUAUUUUUUCUGUUAUAUAUGUGAACUUUCGCGCAGGAG